rnacentral:rRNA from 1 species
UGAGCAAUCUGCCCUUCUCUUCGGAAUAAGCGUUGGAAACGACGUCUAAUGCCGAAUACGACCUCCUUUCGCAUGAUCGGAGGUGGAAAGCUCCGGCGGAGAAGGAUGAGCUCGCGGCCUAUCAGCUAGUUGGUGUGGGUAAUGGCCCACCAAGGCGACGACAGGUAGCCGGCCUGAGAGGGUGACCGGCCACACUGGGACUGAGACACGGCCCAGACCUCCGUACGGGAGCAG